rnacentral:rRNA from 1 species
UACGAAGGCCUCAAGCGUUAUCCGGAAUCAUUGGGCGUAAAGCGUCCGCAGGUUGUUUGGUAAGCGUGUCGUUAAAUUUUAGGGCUCAACCCUGAAGCUGCGAUGCGAACUGCCAAGCUAGAGUGUGGGAGAGGCAUCUGGAAUUGUCGGUGUAGUAGUAAAAUGCGUUAAUAUCGACAGGAACACCAAAAGCGAAAGCAUGAUGCUGGAACACUACUGACACUCAGGGACGAAAGCGUGGGGAGCGAAUCGG